rnacentral:lncRNA from 1 species
UUUUAGUCAGUUAGCCAAAAAAUCAACCCUGAAAUAAUAUCAUCCCUUGUUUGAAACCCCCUUGAGCCUAUUAUCCUUUUUUUGUUUAAAACUCAUUACAAACCAAGAAGUGAAAAACAAUGUUAUCACCCUAUUCAAAGGGUUGAAAGAGUCUUGUUUGGAGUUGUGUGGGGUUGAAUAAUUAUGUUUGUAAUAUUUCAAAAGUUGGUAGAAAAAGAAAAGAAAAAUAGAAAAAGAAAAUAGAAAAAAAAAUGAAUGAAAAAAAAUAGAAGGAUGUAUACAUGUCAAUACAUACUUCUUCUGAAAAGGAAAAAAAAAAGAAAAAAAAAAGAGAAAGGAGAAGAGAAAACAGUUACUAUAGAAUUGUUGAAGUGAAUGAAAUAUUUUGUAUAUUCAACUCCCGUAGUUUCU